rnacentral:rRNA from 1 species
UGGGGAAUAUUGCACAAUGGGCGCAAGCCUGAUGCAGCCAUGCCGCGUGUAUGAAGAAGGCCUUCGGGUUGUAAAGUACUUUCAGCGGGGAGGAAGGGAGUAAAGUUAAUACCUUUGCUCUUUGACGUUACCCGCAGAAGAAGCACCGGCUAACUCCGUGCCAGCAGCCGCGGUAAUACGGAGGGUGCAAGCGUUAAUCGGAAUUACUGGGCGUAAAGCGCACGCAGGCGGUUUGUUUAGUCAGAUGUGAAAUCCCCGGGCUCAACCUGGGAACUGCAUCUGGUACUGGCAAGCUUGAGUCUCGUAGAGGGGGGUAGAAUUCCAGGUGUAGCGGUGAAAUGCGUAGAGAUCUGGAGGAAUACCGGUGGCGAAGGCGGCCCCCUGGACGAAGACGGACGCUCAGGUGCGAAAGCGUGGGGAGCAAACAGG